rnacentral:rRNA from 1 species
AAAGUGCGAUAACUAGUGUGAAUUGCAUAUUCAGUGAAUCAUCGAGUCUUUGAACGCAUCUUGCACUCAAUGGUAUUCCAUUGAGUACGCCUGUUUCAGUAUCAAAAACAACCCUUAUUCAAAAUUCUUUUUUUGAAUAGAUAUGAGUGUAGCAACCUU